rnacentral:rRNA from 1 species
ACUACGGGAGGCAGCAGUAGGGAAUAUUGCUCAAUGGGGGAAACCCUGAAGCAGCAACGCCGCGUGGAGGAUGAAGGUUUUAGGAUUGUAAACUCCUUUUGUGAGAGAAGAUAAUGACGGUAUCUCUCGAAUAAGCCCCGGCUAACUCCGUGCCAGCAGCCGCGGUAAUACGGGGGGUGCAAGCGUUACUCGGAAUCACUGGGCGUAAAGAGUGCGCAGGCGGGUUUGUAAGUCAGAUGUGAAAUCCUGUAGCUUAACAUAAGAACUGCAUUUGAAACUAGGAGUCUAGAGUGUGGGAGAGGGAGGUGGAAUUCUUGGUGUAGGGGUAAAAUCCGUAGAUAUCAAGAGGAAUACUGAUGGCGAAGGCGGCCUACUGGAACAUUACUGACGCUCAUGCACGAAAGCGUGGGGAGCAAACAGGAUUAGAUACCCGUGUAGUC